CCUACGGGCGGCAGCAGUGGGGAAUAUUGGACAAUGGGCGAAAGCCUGAUCCAGCCAUGCCGCGUGUGUGAAGAAGGCCUUCGGGUUGUAAAGCACUUUCAGUGGGGAAGAAAGCCUUGGGGCUAAUACCCUCGAGGAUGGACAUCACCCACAGAAGAAGCACCGGCUAACUCCGUGCCAGCAGCCGCGGUAAUACGGAGGGUGCGAGCGUUAAUCGGAAUUACUGGGCGUAAAGCGCGCGUAGGCGGUCUGAUAAGCCGGUUGUGAAAGCCCCGGGCUCAACCUGGGAACGGCAUCCGGAACUGUCAGGCUAGAGUGCAGGAGAGGAAGGUAGAAUUCCCGGUGUAGCGGUGAAAUGCGUAGAGAUCGGGAGGAAUACCAGUGGCGAAGGCGGCCUUCUGGACUGACACUGACGCUGAGGUGCGAAAGCGUGGGUAGCAAACAGGAUUAGAUACCCUGGUAGUC
rnacentral:rRNA from 1 species